rnacentral:rRNA from 1 species
GAUGAACGCUGGCGGCGUGCCUCAAACAUGCAAGUCGAGCGGGGCUAUGUAAUAUCGCAAGGUAGAACAUAGCCUAGCGGCGAACGGGUGAGUAACACGUGGGUAACCUGCCUGGAAGACAGGGAUAACGAUUCGAAAGGGUCGCUAAUACCUGAUAAUAUCCUUUCAUCGCAUGGUGAUAGGAAGAAAGGGGAAACCCGCUUUCAGAUGGGCCCGCGUCCCAUCAGCUAGUUGGUAAGGUAAAGGCUUACCAAGGCGACGACGGGUAGCCGGUCUGAGAGGAUGUACGGCCACACUGGGACUGAGAUACGGCCCAGACUCCUACGGGAGGCAGCAGUUGGGAAUCUUAGGCAAUGGACGAAAGUCUGACCUAGCGACGCCGCGUGAGGGAAGAAGGCCUUCGGGUUGUAAACCUCUGUCAUGGGGGAAGAAGUAAGUGACGGUACCCCAAGAGGAAGCCCCUGCUAACUACGUGCCAGCAAGCCGCGGUAAUAAUACUCUAU